rnacentral:lncRNA from 1 species
AUAAAUAGAAAUAAUAAUAAAAAAAUAAAUAAAAUAUAACAGAAAAAACUUGGACUUGGACCUCUCUCAUUUGAGCCCACAAAGCCAUGAAAAUCAGGUUAUAAAAGAGGGAGAUCAGACAGAAGAAGGGAGAGAAGCAAAAUACUCUGAGGUUUCCUUGAAACAAAACCCUUGACAAAACCUGGAGAGAAACCUGACAGAGAACUCAGAGCAACCCCCAGGCAGCUCUGAAAAAUUCAAUCUGACUCACACACUUUCAUCUCACGCAAACCCUAACAUUGCCU